AAUUCAGCGAAACCUGCAUAUUUGUCUUGGCACACGUCCAAUGAUAGCUUUAGCGCAAAUAAAAUUAAGCCAAAUAUGAGGAAAUAGAUGAGGUACGAAGAUAUUGCUACUGCUCUACUUCUCUUUUUUUGUCUCUUUGACCUUUUUCA
rnacentral:ribozyme from 14 species